AGCGUUAAUCGGAAUUACUGGGCGUAAAGCGUGCGCAGGCGGUUAUGUAAGACAGAUGUGAAAUCCCCGGGCUCAACCUGGGAACUGCAUUUGUGACUGCAUGGCUAGAGUACGGUAGAGGGGGAUGGAAUUCCGCGUGUAGCAGUGAAAUGCGUAGAUAUGCGGAGGAACACCGAUGGCGAAGGCAAUCCCCUGGACCUGUACUGACGCUCAUGCACGAAAGCGUGGGGAGCAAACAGGAUU
rnacentral:rRNA from 1 species